GACGAACGCUGGCGGCGUGGAUUAGGCAUGCAAGUCGGACGGUAGGGCUUUAUCGUAAGAUAGAGUUUGAGAGUGGCGAACGGGUGAGUAACACGUAGGAAUCUACCCUUAAGACGGGGACAACCCAGGGAAACUUGGGCUAAUACCGGAUGAGAGUGCGAGAGAUUGCAUUUAAAAGGAUGGCGAAAGUUGUCGCUUAGGGAUGAGCCUGCGGUCUAUUAGUUAGUUGGUGAGGUAAGAGCUCACCAAGGCGAUGAUAGAUAGGCGGCCUUAACGGGUGGUCGCCCACACUGGGAUUGAGAUACGGCCCAGACUCCUACGGGAGGCAGCAGUCGAGAAUAGUCUACAAUGGCCGGAAGGCUGAUAGUGCGACGCCGCGUGAACGAGGGAGCCCUUCGGGGUGUAAAGUUCUUUUGUUGGGGAAGAAAAGCAGUUGGUUAAUACCCGAUUGUUCUGACGGUACCCAAAGAAUAAGCACCGGCUAACUUCGUG
rnacentral:rRNA from 1 species